CAGUAGCCGCGGUAAUACGGAGGGUGCGAGCGUUAAUCGGAAUUACUGGGCGUAAAGCGUGCGCAGGCGGUUCGUUAAGACAGAUGUGAAAUCCCCGGGCUUAACCUGGGAACUGCAUUUGUGACUGGCGAGCUAGAGUAUGGCAGAGGGGGGUAGAAUUCCACGUGUAGCAGUGAAAUGCGUAGAGAUGUGGAGGAACACCAGUGGCGAAGGCGACUCUCUGGACAAUAACUGACGCUGAUGCACGAAAGCUAGGGGAGCAAACAGGAUUAGAUACCCGUGUAGUCCCUGUCUCUUAUAA
rnacentral:rRNA from 1 species